GGCACAACUUCCUUUGGUUUGUAAGUAUAAGGAUGUCCUUUCACAGUCCCAGUCCAGUUAACUCGCGUCAACGUAUACCCAGUGCAACCAUCCGGAUCCUUCAUGUUCAACAGCGUCGGGAAAUAAUGCUCCUCCGGGUAACACUCAUCAGAACGAUAACACGGGAGCUUGAAUUUACGCCACAAGAUCCGAUCUUUGAUUGUUAACAAAGCAUGUCUUCUAGUCAUAACAAAGAACUGCGAACCAACUCUGAAUUUCUCAAACGGAACCUCAGGCAUCAUAG